GAAAAAUGCACAUUCGAUUUACGGCUUUUGUCGGCUGGCUCGUGUGAACAGGCCGUUCCACCCCCGCUUUCUUUCUGACAGCUGCAUCAUUCAAACCCUCGAAACCAAGUAGACACUGCGAGUUUGAGGCGACGAAACAGUUCCGGGCCACGAUUUGGCAAACCCACCUGGAAAAAGUGUGUUUCGGGGCAGGGGUUCUAACUGAAUCGCGGUCCCGUGAGGUGCCUCUGUCCUGACUCAAUGCUCUCCACAAGUUCGACAUCGAGGCUGCUUUGCGCGGCCGAACCGUUGGGCUCCCAAGCAGGAACCGCCCAGCGCCCAGGAAUUCACAAACGCAUCGUGAGCGGUACAGGACCACUUUCUUUCUGUGUGUUUUUCUUGUUUCCGCUUUGAAACAGAGGAAAGGAAAGUGCCAACUGGAGCAUCAGGAAUUUCACAGAACUGACGUCCAGUGCUCCGUGAACCGGUUCUGGCCGCCUCCGCCGGCGUACGCCAUAGAGAUAAUCGGCGCUUUUUGCGUCUCGUCCAAGUACUACAUCUGCCCACGAGAGAGGAUUUUCGUAUCGCAUCCUUAACGUACUCCUCUGGCAGUUCAGAAGCAUAACCGUUUUUUCAUGGAGAUGUCGAAGGUCGUGGUGCACGGAAGAGAGAGUUGCAGUUGAAUAGGCCACGCGUGCCCGGUCGUUUGUCCCCGCUUCUCAAAUGCUGCCUCACACACCCUUGGCUUUGCAAAAAGAGCGGCAUGGCAAGCGUCCUCAGGCCAGACGCCGUGGGCGUUUUUCUUUCUACUUCCCCUCUUCUAGACAGUUGUUAGGAAGUCAGAUCUGUUCGCUUUUGCAGUAGUGCUCACGCCGACAACAGCGCCGGUCACCCGGAGUCACUCUGCUGUCACGUAGUGGAAAGUACGCAGAACACGUGUAUUUUCCUGUUGAAUCCUUAUCAUGAGCGUGUCUCUGAGGGAGUUUUCGUCAGUUUGAGACUUCCAGAAUCCAUCCCUUGAAGCCAUUUCCUCGUGAAGUAGAACAGGACUUAUACGUUUCUCACUAAUCACAGGAUCCACCCAGAAGGCAGUUGCGCAGAUAUCCAAGGAACUGCACAAGUCUGUCUUCGAAGGUUCCAGAGUUAGAGCAGAGGCAAACUGACGUCAGGAACCGCAGGUGUCCUUAGGUGACUCCGAGUUGAAAACGGGGUGUUGUUUCAACUUUUACUUGAAUUGUGC
rnacentral:lncRNA from 1 species